rnacentral:rRNA from 1 species
CAGGCCAGCAUCAGUUUGGGCGGUUGGAUAAAGGCCUCUGUCACGUAUCUCCCUUCGGGGUGACCUUAUAGGGGAGGCGCAAUGCAACCAGCCCGGACUGAGGUCCGCGCAUCUGCUAGGAUGCUGGCGUAAUGGCUGUAAGC